rnacentral:rRNA from 1 species
AUUGAAUGCUGGCGGAAUGCUUUACACAUGCAAGUCGAACGGAAAGGCCUCUUCGGAGGUACUCGAGUGGCGAACGGGUGAGUAACACGUGGGUGAUCUGCCCUGCACUCUGGGAUAAGCCUGGGAAACUGGGUCUAAUACCGGAUAGGACCAUGCUUUAGUGUGUGUGGUGGAAAGUUUUUUCGGUGUAGGAUGAGCCCGCGGCCUAUCAGCUUGUUGGUGGGGUAAUGGCCUACCAAGGCGGCGACGGGUAGCCGGACUGAGAGGUUGGUCGGCCACAUUGGGACUGAGAUACGGCCCAGACUCCUACGGGAGGCAGCAGUGGGGAAUAUUGCACAAUGGGCGCAAGCCUGAUGCAGCGACGCCGCGUGGGGGAUGACGGCCUUCGGGUUGUAAACUCCUUUCGCCAGGGACGAAGCGUUUUGUGACGGUACCUGGAGAAGAAGCACCGGCUAACUACGUGCCAGCCGCCGCGGUAA